UUGAAAAACAACUGCCAACUACAUUACAUAAAAGUUGAAAUGGACGUGGAGUGUGGUGGCUCACACCUGUAAUCCCAGCACUUUGGGAAGCUGAGGCAGGCAGAUCACGAGGACUGAAAAGUACCAGGAGAACAGUGGCCACGAGGGGCCCCAACAGAGGAAGAAACCAGUGAGUGAGCCCUCGUGGGAUCUGGUUGUUGAAAAGCGUGCAUCACCUCCCGCUUCAUUCUCUCUGUCUCUCCCGCUCCACCAUAGCCAGACGUGCCUGCUUCCACUUCGCCUUCUGCCAUGACUGUCCGUUUCCUGAGGCCUCCCCAGCCAUGCUUCCUGUACGGCCUGCAGAACUGCCCGGCCCGGGCCCCUCAGGAGCAGAACAGCCUUGGUGAGGUGGACAAGAGGGGACCUCGCGAGCAGACGCGCGCCAGCGACAGCAGCCCCGCCCCGGCCUCUGGGGAGCCCCAGGAGGAUCUGCCCUGGAGACUGGUAGUAAUGCAGGAACAGUCUGCAGGGAUUCUCUCUUGCUGCCUCAGUUGCUAGGGGAAGAGACUGGGCCUUAGCAGGUCUACCAGCCACAGUCUCUGCACGUUUCCAAGAGCAGCAGAAAAUGAACACAUUGCAGUCGAAUCCAGCGGGCAUUUUCUAGCCCCUACCUCCCAGGACCCUUUGUCUGCCUUUGACAUCUGUUACUUCCAAACUGAUACUUUCUCCAUGGAGUCUCUCUUUUCUUGGCUUUUAAAAAGAUUCGUCUGUCUGCAGACUCGUGAAUGACGUCUACCGCGUGUAUAAUCGACACCAGUAUCCAUUUGUUGUUCUUAACAUUUCUGUUGAUUCAGGUAACUUAAUAAAAAUGCAUGCAGCGGAUUUGGAAAAGCCCAUGGUAGAAAAGCAGGAUCAAUCCCCUUCAUUAAGGACUGGAGAAGAAAAAAGGGACGUGUCCAUUUCCAGACUGCGAGAGGCCUUUUCUCUUCGUCACACAACAGAGAACAAGCCUCACAGCCCAAAGACUCCAGAACCAAGAAGGAGCCCUCUAGGACAGAAAAGGGGUAUGUCGUCUUCUAGCACUUCAGAUGCCAUCUCUGACAAAGGCGUCCUGAGACCUCAGAAAGAGGCAGUGAGUUCCAGUCAGGGACCCAGUGACCCUACGGACAGAGCGGAGGUGGAGAAGGACUCGGGGCAUGGCAGCACUUCCGUGGAUUCUGAGGGGUUCAGCAUCCCAGACACGGGCAGUCACUGCAGCAGCGAGUGUGUGGCCAGCACCCCAGGGGACAGGGGCUCGCAGGAACAUGUGGACUCUCAGGAGAAAGCGCCUGAAACUGACGACUCUUUUUCAGAUGUGGACUGCCAUUCAAACCAGGAAGAUACCGGAUGUAAAUUUCAGGUUUUGCCUCAGCCAACUAAUCUCACAUCCCCAAACACAAAAGUGUUUUAAGAAAGAAGAAAUUCUUUCCAAUUCUGACAUUCGUCAAAAGUUAGUAAAUACUCAGAACGUGUCAGCUUCUCAGGUUGAUGUAGCUGUGAAAAUUAAUAAGAAAGUUGUGCCCCUGAACUUUUCUGAGUUCUUUAGCUAAACGAAUAAAGCAGUUACAUCAUGAAGCACAGCAAAGUGAAGGGGAACAGAAUUACAGGAAGUUUAGGGCAAGGAUUUGUCCUGGAGAAAAUCAAGCAGCCGAAGAUGAACUAAGAAAAGAGAUAAGUAAAACGAUGUUUGCAGAAAUGGAAAUCAUUGGUCAGUUUAACCUGGGAUUUAUAAUAACCAAACUGAAUGAGGAUAUCUUCAUAGUGGACCAGCAUGCCACGGACGAGAAGUAUAACUUCGAGAUGCUGCAGCAGCACACCGUGCUCCAGGGGCAGAGGCUCAUAGCACCUCAGACUCUCAACUUAACUGCUGUUAAUGAAGCUGUUCUGAUAGAAAAUCUGGAAAUAUUUAGAAAGAAUGGCUUCGAUUUUGUUAUCGAUGAAAAUGCUCCAGUCACUGAAAGGGCUAAACUGAUUUCCUUGCCAACUAGUAAAAGCUGGACCUUCGGACCCCAGGACGUCGAUGAACUGAUCUUCAUGCUGAGCGACAGCCCUGGGGUCAUGUGCCGGCCUUCCCGAGUCAAGCAGAUGUUUGCCUCCAGAGCCUGCCGGAAGUCGGUGAUGAUUGGGACUGCUCUUAACACAAGCGAGAUGAAGAAACUGAUCACCCACAUGGGGGAGAUGGACCACCCCUGGAACUGUCCCCAUGGAAGGCCAACCAUGAGACACAUCGCCAACCUGGGUGUCAUUUCUCAGAACUGACCGUAGUCACUGUAUGGAAUAAUUGGUUUUAUCGCAGAUUUUUAUGUUUUGAAAGACAGAGUCUUCACUAACCUUUUUUGUUUUAAAAUGAAACCUGCUACUUAAAAAAAAUACACAUCACACCCAUUUAAAAGUGAUCUUGAGAACCUUUUCAAACCAGAUGGAGCAUUGCUUGCAAAUUUUUUUUCUCUAUGUUUGCAUGCGCUCGUGUGUGAGCCAUCAUGCCUGGCUGAGUUAAGGAUCUUGCAACAGAGAGAUUAUCCUGGAUUGUCUGGGUGGGCCCAGUCCAUUGGGUGAGUCCUUCAAAGGUGGAGACCUUUCCCUGCUGGCCAGAGAGAGGCUGCCUUGCUGGUUUUGGAGAUGGAAGGAGGUACCACUAGUCAAGGAUUGCAAGCAGUCUCUAGAACAGGGAUUCCAACACUCCGGACACAGACCAGUAGUGGUCCAUGGCCUAUUAGGAAGUGGGGUGCACAGCAGGUUAGGGGCCGGCAAGCCAGCGAAGCUUCAUCUGUAUUUAUAGCCACUCCCCGUCGCUGGCGUUACCACCCGAGCUCCGCCUCCUGUCACAUCAGCGGUGGGCAUUAGAUUCUCAUAGCAGCACGAGCCCUAUUGUGAACUGCACACACGAGGGAUGUAGGUUGCACGCUCCUUAUGAGAAUCUGAUGCCUGAUGAUCUGUCACUGUCUCCCGUCACCCCCAGAUGGGGCUGUCUAGUUGCAGGAAAACAAGCUCAGGGCUCCCACUGAGUCUCUGUGAUGGUGAGUUGUAGAAUUAUUUAAUUAUAUGUUACAAUGUAAUAAUAGUAGAAAUAAAGUGCACAAUAAAUGCAAUGCACUUGAAUCGUCCUGAAACCAUCCCUCCCCGACCCCAAUCCAUGGAAAAAUUGUGUUCCGCGAAACCGGUCUCUGGUGCCAAAAAGGUUGGGGACCGCUUCUGGAAAAGCUGGAAAAGGCAAGAAAACGCAUUCUCUCCCUCAGCCUCUGGAAGGAACCAGCACUGUGGGACUAAUUUACAUACUGUAGGGUAAUAAAUUUGUGUUGCUUCGAACCA
rnacentral:lncRNA from 1 species